AUCAUCUGAGGUCGGAACAGGCAACCGACACACCCAAGCGGUCUUUAAAGAGAUGCAGGAGUGCCAACCUGCCUAUGAU
rnacentral:ncRNA from 1 species